UGAGGAUUCGUGGGGAAUAGUCUUCCUCUUGGAAACCACAGAGCCAAUAACAAGUCACAGAGAGAGAGGAGGAGGGUGAUAAAGCACCAAGGAUAGUAGAAUGCUCCAGGGGGACAAAGGGAAUAUCCUGUGUAAAUGUGAGAAUUUACUGAGUUUGACCAGUCCUAACUGGUUCUGGCUAAUUCCUCACAGCCUGAGUGAGUUGUUU